CAGCAAUGAGCCAACUUUGGUUCGCGAUUCGUUCGUUCC
rnacentral:siRNA from 1 species